CAGCCGCCGCGGUAAUACGUAGGUGGCAAGCGUUGUCCGGAAUUAUUGGGCGUAAAGGGCUCGCAGGCGGUUUCUUAAGUCUGAUGUGAAAGCCCCCGGCUCAACCCGGGAGGGUCAUUGGAAACUGGGAAACUUGAGUGCAGAAGAGGAGAGUGGAAUUCCACGUGUAGCGGUGAAAUGCGUAGAGAUGUGGAGGAACACCAGUGGCGAAGGCGACUCUCUGGUCUGUAACUGACGCUGAGGAGCGAAAGCGUGGGGAGCGAACAGGAUUAGAUACCCCAGUAGUCCCUGUCUCUUAUAC
rnacentral:rRNA from 1 species